rnacentral:tRNA from 1 species
GAUCAAGUGGAGACGGGGUGGGGCCUGUAGCUCAGAGGAUUAGAGCACGUGGCUACGAACCACGGUGUCGGGGGUUCGAAUCCCUCCUCGCCCACAACCGGCCCUAAAAGGGAAGUGCCUUUCUCCGGUGUGGGCGUUAGAGCAUUGAGAGGACCUUUCCCUAGUACGAGAGGACCGGGAAGGACGCACCUCUGGUGUUACAGUUAUCGUGCCCACGGUAAACGCUGGGUAGCCAAGUGCGGAGCGGAUAACUGCUGAAAGCAUCUAAGUAGUAAGCCCACCCCAAGAUGAGUGCUCUCCUAUUCCGACUUCCCCGGAGCCUCCGGUAGCACAGCCAGGACAGCGACGGGUUCUCUGCCCCUGCGGGGAUGGAGCGACAGAAGUUUUGAGAAUUCAAGAGAAGGUCACGGCGAGACGAGCCGUUUAUCAUUACGAUAGGUGUCAAGUGGAAGUGCAGUGAUGUAUGCAGCUGAGGCAUCCUAACAGACCGGUAGACUUGAACCU